GGAUGCUGAGUUGGCCCUCAAGGCUGAGAAGUCGCUGCUCGCUACAUAAACGAUACAUAUAGGCGCCUUUCUGACGGUUUUCUGCGGAGGAGCAGCAGACUGUAAAUCUGCCCGCGCAAGCGUACGCUGGUUCGAAUCCAGCCCUCUCCACCA
rnacentral:tRNA from 1 species